rnacentral:rRNA from 1 species
CCUACGGGUGGCAGCAGUGGGGAAUAUUCCACAAUGGGCGGAACCCUGAUGCAGCGACGCAGCGUGAGUGAUGAAGUAUUUCGGUAUGUAAAGCUCUAUCAGCAGGGAAGAAAAUGACGGUACCUGACUAAGAAGCGCCUGCUAACUACGUGCCAGCAGCCGCGGUAAUACGUAGUGGGCAAGAGUUAGCCGGAUUUACUGGGUGUAAAGGGAGCGUAGACGGCAGAGCAAGUCUGAAGUGAAAGCCCGCGGCGCAACAGCGGGACUGGUUUUGAAACUGACCGGCCAGAGGGCUGGAGAGGUUAGCGGAAUUCCGAGUGUAGGGGUGAAAUGCGGAGGUAUUAGGAGGAAAAACAGAGGCGAAGGCGGCUUACUGGACAGUAACUGACGUUGAGG